GACGAACGCUGGCGGCGUGCUUAACACAUGCAAGUCGUACGGUAAGGCCCUUUCGGGGGUACACGAGUGGCGAACGGGUGAGUAACACGUGAGUAACCUGCCCACAACUUUGGGAUAACGCUAGGAAACUGGUGCUAAUACUGGAUAUGUGCUCCUGCUGCAUGGUGGGGGUUGGAAAGCUCCGGCGGUUGUGGAUGGACUCGCGGCCUAUCAGCUUGUUGGUGGGGUAGUGGCCUACCAAGGCGGCGACGGGUAGCCGGCCUGAGAGGGUGACCGGCCACAUUGGGACUGAGAUACGGCCCAGACUCCUUCGGGAGGCAGCAGUGGGGAAUAUUGCACAAUGGGCGCAAGCCUGAUGCAGCAACGCCGCGUGCGGGAUGACGGCCUUCGGGUUGUAAACCGCUUUCAGCAGGGACGAAGCUUUUUGUGACGGUACCUGCAGAAGAAGCACCGGCUAACUACGUG
rnacentral:rRNA from 1 species